rnacentral:tRNA from 1 species
UCCCUGGUGGCUCAGAUGGUAAAGAAUCUGCAUGCAAUGCAGGAGACCCAGGUUUGAUCCCUGGGUGGGGAA